UAGAUGUUUGUUGUUAUCAUGUAUCAUUAAUGCAUGGCUAAAUGAAGCAUGUGUACAGUAUGUCAUAUUCAGAGACUUAAUCCUCUCAAUCCUGCUAAGCAAUAUGAUAGCCUGUCUAGUAUGCUGAACCCCUUACAGUAUCAACUACCAGUACUGGGUGACAUGCUCAAAAUCCAAAAAGGAGAUGAUUGCUUUUAAAAAUAAAAAGAUUGUAGCUGAGGUACAGACUCUUGAGAUACAAGGCAACAACAGGUGACCCAUCUAACUUUAAAGUUUAAACUUAGCAAGUCUUAAAGUAAGAAUUGCAAGAUAAGUGGAUUAUAGACUUCAUAUUCUGUUGCACUCUGCUGGAAUCAUUCUUCACUUAAAAGAUAAGUCAUGUGGUACUUGAAAAGAUUUCAGCUGUCAUUGACUUGCAGCAACCAAAACUUAUCAGCUGAGUUUUAGGGUUUUUUGGAAAGAUGUUGACAGUAUCUUGGAUGACACUAAUCUACAAAACCUGAGAUACAGAUGAAACAUCUUACAGCAGAUUUAUUUUAAAAGGCCAAGAGAAUAAAAAGAAAAAGAGUUAAAAGCAUUAAUUCUAUAUGGAUACAUGUUAGUAUAGUUUGUGAGGGGAUAUCACCCCAAUCAGAAUAUUUGUUUUUAUAUGCUGAGUGAUAAGAAUAAAAAGUUUUUUUUAAGAUAAUUCCUCGCUCUCACUAAUUAAAAUAUUAAUUUCAUUUUUGAAUGGGAUAUGUUGAGAAAAAAAAUAUUUAGUACUGUUGCAAAUUUAACAAACUCACUUCAUAACAAGGCUAGAUAACAGGUUAGAUCAACAGUUACAAUUAAUCAUAUAGUUUACACAAAACAAAUUCCUCAAAAUAUUUUUUUUGUAUGGAACAGACACUCGGUAACAAUUCUGUCUCACUAGUAGUUUUAUUGACAGCCCCACAAGGGUGGAGUUGCUUCUUAGGAAUAGUUAUCAAUAAAUUAGCUUUUUCUCAUGGUUAUAACUGUACCCCUUCCCUGGUCCAUAUGCAUCUUGAUACUUUGGAGUUUACUUAUUUUUCAAUGAACUUCUUGAGUUACAAAAAUUAUGAACCUUCAAUAAAUAAAUAAAAAAUUCUAUUAUUAUUUUUAUUCUUUGGAAAUUUUUAAAAAGAAGUUUAAUGUA
rnacentral:sRNA from 13 species